AAGAAUCGCCCCGUUUUUUGAAAUGGGUUCUAUUCCUCAACCGUGUAUACAUACCUUUGUUGCUUUGGCAGGCCGCCUUCGGGCGUUGGCUUAGGCUGACUCGUGCUUGCCAGAGGACCCAAACUCGUUUGUUUAGUGAUGUCUGAGUACUAUAUAAUAGUUA
rnacentral:misc_RNA from 1 species